rnacentral:misc_RNA from 1 species
GCUGAUUCCAAAGUUGUCAGUAGAAGCAAGAUCUGUGAGAGUCCGCGCGAAGCAAGGGAAUCCGCUGCUGCGCACGUGAUUUCAAGCUUUCAAAAGUGAGAGUCCGCGUGAAGCAAGGGAGUCUGCUGCUGCAAACAUGAAUGCAACGAGUAGCUCCGUGGUAGUUCAGAAUCCAUAGCUUUGCAAAGGGGCUAUUACUGCUCUUUG